rnacentral:lncRNA from 1 species
UGGUAGGUUUAGUUUAUGUCAUGAUGAUGGGAAAGGUUGUGGUCCAGAGUCGCAGAUUAGUGUUGGCUAUCAAAAGAAACGUAUAUUUGGACAGAUCAUGGAUGGUGGAAGAUUCCAAAGUCAUGAAAGAAGCUUGAGCAAUUGAAGGUUACCGUACUAUAGGAAUAUGAACGGUGAUUUACCAGGGACUUUAGGGUAUAUAAGGUGUAUAUAUAUGAUGCUGAACUGUAAGCUUGUAUUGUGGACAAUGCUUCAAGUUAAAUCCGUAACCUAUGUUCAAAUAAUCCGUGGUGCCACAUC